UUGCCACUUUGUGGUUCAUGACUGGGGUGAAGUCGUAACAAGGUAGCGCUAGGGGAACCUGGCGCUGGAUCACCUCCUUACACGA
rnacentral:rRNA from 1 species